rnacentral:rRNA from 1 species
UACGAAGGGUGCAAGCGUUACUCGGAAUUACUGGGCGUAAAGGGCGCGUAGGCGGCCUGUUAAGUCGAACGUGAAAUCCCCGGGCUCAACCCGGGAACUGCGUCCGAUACUGGCAGGCUUGAAUCCGGGAGAGGGAUGCGGAAUUCCAGGUGUAGCGGUGAAAUGCGUAGAUAUCAGGAGGAACACCGGUGGCGGAAGGCG